rnacentral:lncRNA from 1 species
AUGACGAGGGAACCUACGAUGACGACGAAAGAGGCGAUACCGAAGCUUUUAGUGAAGAAGCAGAAACAAUGUGCUCCGCAAGAGAAGUUGAAUACCCGGUCGUUCUCUAUAUCAACGCUGCUGGAAAUUUGGUACAACUUAUUCGGAGCGAGUCUUAUUACCAGCCUCUCGUUAAUGAGCGAUGUUCACGUGAGUUCCAUACCGUAAAACGUGAUGACAUGACAGCGACGUGUCUUACUACCUAUCGCCUGGCACAAGUCUACGCUCUGAAUCUAGCAACUCUCCAAUUUGGGCGGGAAAUUGUAAAAAUAACGCAGUGUACACCAGUCAUCAUAGCAACAUCAUAAAAGGAGACAUUCAUUAAUUAAUUUGGUAUAUGUGUACAGCUUAAUUUAAACUAAGCUUCACACAAACAGAUGAGAGAGAGAGAGAGAGAGAGAGAGAGAAAGAGAGAACAGCCGUGUUCAACUUUACUUCGAUAGAUUUAUAAAUUUGAUGCAAAAAAAUAGCUGAUAAAAUCCGUCGCAUUUACAUGUACAGUCGAGUAUCUUUCGGGAAUUAUGCUCUCCAUUUUGUACAUGGUCUCCAAAGAUUGUUUCAUGAUACCGGCUUACAAUCAUUCUGAUUUUAUUUCCGUAGAAUGAAAAGAUUAACUGUACCAGCGACUCUAAAAAUAGUGAACAGAACUUUCUAAAAAAAAAUCAAACUUAUCAACAGCUGAUAAUUACUUACUAUAUGAAUAGCACAUCACACAUUAAUCUUUAACAUAACAUCGAAUCAUUAUUUUCCAUUAAUAUGAAGCGAACAUCAUGACAACGUAUACACAUCUAUUUUACCGUCCAAUUACUAUCUUAAAAUCUGGAAUUGUUCCAUUGUUAGAAAAAUAGUUCAAAAAUGUGUACAUUAUGCCUUAAAUCAAAAUGGUUACCUCAAAAUCAACUGUUUUUCAAAUUUCCAUUUUCGACCAAUAAGACAUGUAGUUGUUUAGCAUAUACAUGUGUAAUGUGUUUGUCAAUUAUGACAUAACUAUUAUGAUUAUAACCUAAAAAUUAUUUCGAAUGUUUUAUCAUGAUAACGCGGACUACAAUAAUUACUAUUCAAAUGUAAAAUAUUGCGUCAAUGCAUGGUUAUUCAUAAUAUAGUCCAAUUAACUUUAUGGGGGUUCUGAUCUGAGACGGCGAUUUGCUCGGUAGCACACAAUAUUAUUACACGAUCAUCAUUAUGAUCUGAUCAUGAAAGGGUUUCGAUAAUUCUUUUAUUUUCUUAAAUAAAUUUAUAGUCCUAUACUGCAGGUUUUGGGAGGCGCAAUGGCUCGGUAGUAGAGCAGAUAACAAGUAACCAUGCAGAAUAUAUUCCUGUUUUGUCAGUCUUGUGGAUCAUCAUUUCGGGAGGGUCUAGUGCAGGUGCAUAAUUCUGAAUGUUCGCAAUUCCGAAACACUAUUCUCAUAGAGGCUGCAGGGAAUAUAUAAUUCCUGAAGUAGGGUUCAUAAUUCCGAACAUUAAGUUUUGUUGUUGCGUUAUUAAAAUUAUUAGGGUCGUCAGUAUCCGAAAGAUCAUAAUUCCGUAACUGAAAUUGGGUCCAUUAUUCGGAAGGUUCGUAUUUGCGGAAAACGGUUAUAGGGGUCCGUAUGCCGUUUUCGUAAUCAUGAAUCGUUGGAAUAAUGAACCCUAUUUCACUUUUGUAAACACGAACCUUAGGAAUGACGAACCUUCAGAGUCACGAAACUUCGGAAGUAUACGGAAUAACGAACCUCAGCAAAAUUGUUACUUGGGUUUCAUGGGCUAUCGGUAAUGUAGGAUGACCCUGAGCUUUCAAACUGUUAUCAUUCAUUAUUACUCAAACGUAUAA